rnacentral:tRNA from 1 species
GCCACAGUGGAGCAAUGGUUAGGCACUUGGCUGUUAACCAAAAGGCUGGUGGUUCGAACCCACUCACUGGCU